rnacentral:rRNA from 1 species
AGUGGCGCACGGGUGAGGAACACGUAGCUGACCUGCCCUGGAGCGCGGGAUAACCCUGGGAAACGAGGGCUAAGACCGCCUACGCUCGGCGGCUGUAGAGGCUGACGAGGAAAACCUUCGGGUGCUCUGGGAGGGGGCUGCGGCCCAUCAGGUGGUUGGUGGGGUAAUGGCCUACCAAGCCGACGACGGGUCGGGGGUCUGAGAGGAUGAUCCCCCACACUGGGACUGAGACACGGCCCAGACUCCUACGGGAGGCAGCAGUGAGGAAUCUUGCACAAUGGGGGCAACCCUGAUGCAGCGACGCCGCGUGGGCGAUGAAGGUCUUCGGAUCGUAAAGCCCUUUUUCUGCGUGACGAGGAUGAAGGACGGUAGCGCAGGAAGAAGCGUCGGCUAACUACGUGCCAGCAGCCGCGGUAAAACGUAGGACGCAAGCGUUAUCCGGAGUUACUGGGCGUAAAGGGCGUGUAGGCGGUCGGACAAGUCCCCCGUGAAAGACUUCGGCUCAACCGGGGGAGGUCGGGGGAUACUGUCCGACUAGAGGAUGUCAGAGGGACACGGAAUUCCGGGUGUAGUGGUGAAAUGCGUAGAGAUCCGGAGGAACACCAGUGGCGCAGGCGGUGUCCUGGGGCGUACCUGACGCUGAGACGCGAAAGCAUGGGGAGCGAACGGGAUUAGAAACCCCGGUAGUCCAUGCCGUAAACGAUGCCGACUAGGGGUUCGGGGAGACCUGGGUCCCGCAGCUAACGCGCUAAGUCGGCCGCCUGGGGAGUACGGUCGCAAGGCUAAAACUCAAAGGAAUUGACGGGGGCCUGCACAAGCAGCGGAGCGUGUGGUUUAAUUCGAGGCUACACGAACAACCUUACCUGGGUUUGACAUGACGGUGGUAGGGAGCCGAAAGGGGACCGACCUUCGGGAGCCGUGACAGGUGCUGCAUGGCUGUCGUCAGCUCGUGUCGUGAGAUGUACGGUUAAGUCCGCAAACGAGCGCAACCCUCGGCAGUAGUUACACGUGUCUACUGCGACUGCCCUCGGCAAGGGGGAGGAAGGUGGGGAUGACGUCAAGUCAGCAUGGCCUUUAUAUCCAGGGCGACACACACGCUACAAUGGGCGGUACAAUGGGGAGCGAAGGCGCGAGCCGGAGCCAAUCCCGAAAGCCGUUCGUAGUUCGGAUUGCAGGCUGCAACUCGCCUGCAUGAAGGUGGAGUUGCUAGUAACCGUGGGUCAGCAAACUACGGUGAAUACGUUCCCGGGCCUUGCA